GGCCGUAUCGUAUAGUGGUUAGUACUGCAGAUUUUCGAUCUGCCAAGACGAGUUCGAUCCUCGUUGCGGCUACCA
rnacentral:tRNA from 1 species